GGAGCGUGUUGCUUAAUUCGAUGCUACGCGAAGAACCUUACCUAGGUUAAAUCAUUGGGAAAAGCCACAGAGAUGUGGUGUCCUUCGGGGCUCAAUGAAGGUGGUGCAUGGCUGUCGUCAGCUCGUGUCGUGAGAUGUUGGGUUAAGUCCCGCAACGAGCGCAACCCUUAUUCUAUGUUGCCAGCACGUAAUGGUGGGGACUCGUAGGAGACUGCCGGGGUCAACUCGGAGGAAGGUGGGGAUGACGUCAAGUCAUCAUGCCCCUUAUGUCUAGGGCUGCAAACACGCUACAAUGGCCGGUACAAAGGGCUGCGAAACCGCGAGGUUUAGCGAAUCCCAUAAAGCCGGUCUCAGUUCGGAUUGGAGGCUGCAACUCGCCUCCAUGAAGCUGGAGUUGCUAGUAAUCCCGGAUCAGCACGCCGGGGUGAAUACGUUCCCGGGCCUUGUACACACCGCCCGUCACACCACGAAAGUC
rnacentral:rRNA from 1 species